ACCAGAAUGGCCGAGUGGUUAAGGCGUUGGACUUAAGUUCCAAUAGACGUGAGUCUGCGUGGGUUCGAACCCCACUUCUGGUA